AAUGAACGUUGGCGGCGUGGAUUAGGCAUGCAAGUCGAACGAGAUCUGUAGCAAUACAGUGAAAGUGGCGAAAGGGAGAGUAAUACGUAGGUACCUGCCCUCGGGUCUGGGAUAGCUGCGGGAAACUGCAAUUAAUACCGGAUGAUGUCUCUGGACCAAAGGUGUGAUUCCGCCAGGGGAUGGGCCUGCGUCCUAUCAGCUUGUUGGUGUGGUAACGGCGCACCAAGGCUAAGACGGGUACGGGGUGUGAGAGCAUGCCCCCGCUCACUGGGACUGAGAUACUGCCCAGACACCUACGGGUGGCUGCAGUCGAGAAUCUUCCGCAAUGGGCGCAAGCCUGACGGAGCGACGCCGCGUGUGGGAUGAAGGCCGUCGGGUUGUAAACCACUGUCAGUGGGGAGCAAAUGCAUCAGGGUUCUCCCUGGUGUUUGAGCGAUCCGCAGAGGAAGCACAGGCUAAUUCCGUGCCAGCCGCCGCGGUAA
rnacentral:rRNA from 1 species